AAAAAAAAAUUAGGGUAAACAUAGAUUUUGAUUGUGAAUUUAGGAUAACCUCAUAAUUUUCAUGAUUUUGUAAAAAUUAUAGAGAACGACAAUGAUUUUGAAAGAGAGAUUGAAAAUGAUGAAAAACAAAAGAAUAUGGAAGAGAGAGAUGAUAAAAGGGGGAUAGUUUCUUACCCACACGAUCUCAUCAAAAAUAAGUUUAAUAAUUAUUGUGUCAUCAUUACUUCAGGGGUAAAUUAGUCCAAUUUCUCCUCAAAAAGAUGGCAAAGUGCCUAAUCCCUGAAAAGUGCCUCAAAAGGAAUAAAAUUCUUUAAAAGUGUCUAAACGUGUCACAUUCCCUUAUCAUUUUAGUCCUUUAAUUUUUAUAUAUUCAAAAUAUUUCAACACUUUGACUCGUAAUCUACAGAUUAAAAAUAAAGAGACUUAUCUAUCUCUUCGUAAUGCAUUGAUUGAUCACAUAUGAGAGCAUUACGAAAAUAAUUUUAUUGAGUAAUUUGUAAUUUAUAAGUUAAUUUAUGUAUUUUUAAUUUUUAUUUAUAUGUAUUUUAUUUAUAAAUGUAUUGUUUUGUUAAUUAAGAUUAUGUGUAAUAUUUUAAUGUAUGUUUUAGUGUUAUUAUU
rnacentral:sRNA from 1 species